CCCGCUUCCACACUAACCUUCAGUCUGUAAGCCGCUCAGCAGGGUCCAUUACAUCUAAGUGUGAAUAAUUCAUGCUCUGGAUGCUGUAGCAUGAAGAAAGAAAGUCAUACAAGUUUGGAACAACAUUAGGGAUUGCGUGGGUUAACACCGAACGUAGAGAGGCAUCGUGGAGUGGCGGGCACAUAAAAUGGCAAUUAAACUGCGAUGACCCUCGUCGCCUCCGCAGGUCGCUCACUGUCACGGUGUCGGCUGAAAAGAAGAGAAAGGAUGCAAACGAGCGCAUGGCAGUGGAUAUGAUAUGUGUUUCUCCUACAGCUAUAUAACCUGCAAAUCUUACAAACCAGAGC
ensembl:lncRNA